UACGUAGGCGGAUUGGAAAGUAGGGGGUGAAAUCCCAGGGCUCAACCCUGGAACUGCCUCCUAAACUAUCAGUCUAGAGUUCGAGAGAGGUGAGUGGAAUUCCAAGUGUAGAGGUGAAAUUCGUAGAUAUUUGGAGGAACACCAGUGGCGAAGGCGGCUCACUGGCUCGAUACUGACGCUGAGGUACGAAAGUGUGGGGAGCAAACAGGAUUAGAUACCCUGGUAGUCC
rnacentral:rRNA from 1 species